ACGUAGGGUAGUCAAGCUUCCAAGACUCCAGACACAU
rnacentral:piRNA from 1 species